rnacentral:rRNA from 1 species
CGCCGCGUGAGGGAUGACGGCCUAUCGGGUUGUAAACCUCUUUUAGCAGGGAAGAAGCGAAAGUGACGGUACCUGCAGAAAAAGCGCCGGCUAACUACGUGCCAGCAGCCGCGGUAAUACGUAGGGCGCAAGCGUUAUCCGGAAUUAUUGGGCGUAAAGAGCUCGUAGGCGGUUUGUCGCGUCUGCUGUGAAAUCCCGAGGCUCAACCUCGGGCCUGCAGUGGGUACGGGCAGACUAGAGUGCGGUAGGGGAGAUUGGAAUUCCUGGUGUAGCGGUGGAAUGCGCAGAUAUCAGGAGGAACACCGAUGGCGAAGGCAGACCUCUGGGCCGUAACUGACGCUGAGGAGCGAAAGGGUGGGGAGCAAACAGGCCUAGAUACCCUGGUAGUCCACCCCGUAAACGUUGGGAACUAGUUGUGGGGACCAUUCCACGGUUUCCGUGACGCAGCUAACGCAUUAAGUUCCCCGCCUGGGGAGUACGGCCGCAAGGCUAAAACUCAAAGGAAUUGACGGGGACCCGCACAAGCGGCGGAGCAUGCGGAUUAAUUCGAUGCAACGCGAAGAACCUUACCAAGGCUUGACAUAUACGAGAACGGGCCAGAAAUGGUCAACUCUUUGGA